UACGGAGGGGUCCAAGCGUUAUCCGGAAUCAUUGGGUUUAAAGGGUCCGUAGGCGGUUUUGUAAGUCAGUGGUGAAAGCCCAUCGCUCAACGGUGGAACGGCCAUUGAUACUGCAAGACUUGAAUUAUUAGGAAGUAACUAGAAUAUGUAGUGUAGCGGUGAAAUGCUUAGAGAUUACAUGGAAUACCAAUUGCGAAGGCAGGUUACUACUAAUGAUUGACGCUGAUGGACGAAAGCGUGGGGAGCGAACAGG
rnacentral:rRNA from 1 species